rnacentral:rRNA from 1 species
GGGAAUCUUCCACAAUGGACGCAAGUCUGAUGGAGCAACGCCGCGUGAGUGAAGAAGGUUUUCGGACCGUAAAGCUCUGUUGUUGGUGAAGAAGGAUAGGGGUAGUAACUGGCCUUUAUUUGACGGUAAUCAACCAGAAAGUCACGGCUAACUACGUGCCAGCAGCCGCGGUAAUACGUAGGUGGCAAGCGUUGUCCGGAUUUAUUGGGCGUAAAGCGAGCGCAGGCGGAAGAAUAAGUCUGAUGUGAAAGCCCUCGGCUUAACCGAGGAAUUGCAUCGGAAACUGUUUUCUUGAGUGCAGAAGAGGAGAGUAGAACUCCAUGUGUAGCGGUGGAAUGCGUAGAUAUAUGGAAGAAUACCAGUGGCGAAGGCGGCUCUCUGGUCUGCAACUGACGCUGAGGCUCGAAAGCAUGGGUAGCGAACAGGAUUAGAUACCCUGGUAGUCCAUGCCGUAAACGAUGAGUGCUAAGUGUUGGGAGGCUUCCGCCUCUCAGUGCUGCAGCUAACGCAUUAAGCACUCCGCCUGGGGGAGUACGACCGCAAGGUUGAAAC